rnacentral:rRNA from 1 species
UGGGGGAAAUCUUGGACAAUGGGCGCAAGCCUGAUCCAGCCAUGCCGCGUGGAGUGAUGAAGGCCUUAGGGUUUGUAAAAACUCCUUUCGCCGAGGACGAUAAUGACGGUACUCGGAGAAGAAGCUCCGGCUAACUUCGUGCCAGCAGCCGCGGUAAUACGAAGGGGGCUAGCGUUGUUCGGAUUUACUGGGCGUAAAGCGCGUGUAGGCGGGUCGUUAAGUUGGGGGUGAAAUCCCGAGGCUCAACCUCGGAACUGCGUUUGAUACUGUCGAGCUAGAGUGUGGAAGGGGCGAUUGGAAUUCCGUGUGUAGCGGUGAAAUGCGUAGAUAUACGGAGGAACACCAGAGGCGAAGGCGGAUCGCUGGGCCAACACUGACGCUGAGACGCGAAAGCUAGGGUAGCAAACGGGAUUAGAUACCCCAGU